rnacentral:rRNA from 1 species
AUUGAACGCUAGCGGCAGGCCUAACACAUGCAAGUCGAACGAGUGGCGGACGGGUGAGUAAUAUAUUGGAACGUGCCAAGUAGAGGGGGAUAACUACUCGAAAGAGGGCUAAUACCGCAUACUAUUAGAUGGGCCGAUAUGGGAUUAGCUAGUUGGUGGGGUAACGGCUCACCAAGGCAACGAUCCCUAGCUGGUCUGAGAGGAUGACCAGCCACACUGGAACUGAGAAACGGCCCAGACUCCUACGGGAGGCAGCAGUGGGGAAUUUUGGACAAUGGGCGCAACCCUGAUCCAGCCAUGCCGCGUGUAUGAUGAAGGCCUUCGGGUUGUAAAGUACUUUCGGCAGAGAAGCGGUAUCUGCAGAAUAAGCACCGGCUAACUACGUGCCAGCAGCCGCGGUAAUUC